UGGUAACAGCAAAAUCAACAGCAAUCAGAUCUGGAAAGCCAAUAUGCUCACUGCCAUAAAACUGAAAAGAGAGCUCAUUGUGCCUUGGGCACAGCAUCAGGUUUAAUAGAAAAGUAGGCAUGUUUAUAGUCUCAGAUUUACAACAUGACUUAUAAACACCUUAUUACUUAGAGUCCAGUCUGCUGUCCUAGAAACUAAGAAUGUGACUUUGUUAAGCAGAAGAAUUUGUUGACAUAAAGGUCUUGACUCAGUUGGCCUUUGUGGUUAACCAAAAUGCAUUUACUCCUGAGAAAGUCAACACCAGCAAACAAAAUGCCUCUUAUACUACAAUACGAUUAAAAGAACUCAUCAGUGUUUCAUCAGGUCUGGAGCAAAAGAUGAAAAGAUUUGCCCAACAUGAAUCUUCUUAGCAGAUUUUCCCAGCUAUGAGAAUCAGAAGAAAAGCAGUUAGUGAAGCUGCAGCAAAUAUUCCUGAAUGGAUCAAUGACAAGGCCUACCCAGUCUAAAGUAAUGAGUUGCCUAGAGCAAAUGUUUUUUUUUUCCUUUUCCAUGUGUAUUUUUUCCAGGUUUCUGUAAGUAUGUACCCACUGUCCCCCUCAGAUGACGAUUACAUUGGUGGACAAGUGUUAUUGUGUUAUAUUGAUCAUUCUUGUACUUAUUUGUAUUGAGUAACUGUGAUAUAUUAUUUUAUUUUUUAUCUUAUUAAGUAAAUGUUCAAAAGGAAAAGAAAGAAAGGAAAGGAAAGGAAGGGAGAGAGGGAGGGAGAGAGGAAGUUAACAUAGUUUGGGAAAAAAUAAAACAG
rnacentral:lncRNA from 1 species